AUUUACAGAAGCCAAGGCCAGCAGUUAUUGUGAGGAGAAUGGGGCAGCCAUUACAACUUAAUUUUGGAAAACAGCUUUGUCUUGUAUAAAAUGGCAUUGCUCAGGUUCUAACUUUAGGCUAGCUAUGCUGGAGGAAGCUUAAGGCC